GGCGAACGGGUGAGUAAUGCGUGACCAACCUGCCCCAUGCUCCAGAAUAGCUCUUGGAAACGGGUGGUAAUGCUGGAUGCUCCAACUUGACGCAUGUCUUGUUGGGAAAGUGUUUAGUGGCAUGGGAUGGGGUCGCGUCCUAUCAGCUUGUAGGCGGGGUAAUGGCCCACCUAGGCUUCGACGGGUAGCCGGCCUGAGAGGGCGGACGGCCACAUUGGGACUGAGAUACGGCCCAGACUCCUACGGGAGGCAGCAGG
rnacentral:rRNA from 1 species